AACGAACGCUGGCGGCAGGCCUAACACAUGCAAGUCGAGCGCCCCGCAAGGGGAGCGGCGGACGGGUGAGUAACGCGUGGGAACGUACCCUUUGCUACGGAAUAGCCUCGGGAAACUGGGAGUAAUACCGUAUGUGUCCUUCGGGAGAAAGAUUUAUCGGCAAGGGAUCGGCCCGCGUUGGAUUAGGUAGUUGGUGGGGUAAUGGCCUACCAAGCCGACGAUCCAUAGCUGGUUUGAGAGGAUGAUCAGCCACACUGGGACUGAGACACGGCCCAGACUCCUACGGGAGGCAGCAGUGGGGAAUCUUAGACAAUGGGCGCAAGCCUGAUCUAGCCAUGCCGCGUGAGCGAUGAAGGCCUUAGGGUUGUAAAGCUCUUUCAGGGGGGAAGAUAAUGACUGUACCCCAGAAGAAGCCCCGGCUAACUCCGUG
rnacentral:rRNA from 1 species